GACGAACGCUGGCGGCGUGCUUAACACAUGCAAGUCGAACGGUGAAGGUGGAGCUUGCUCCGCCGGAUCAGUGGCGAACGGGUGAGUAACACGUGGGCAACCUGCCCCUCACUUCGGGAUAACUCCGGGAAACCGGGGCUAAUACCGAAUACGACCUCCUUGGGCAUCCCGGGAGGUGGAAAGUUUUUCGGUGAGGGAUGGGCCCGCGGCCUAUCAGCUUGUUGGUGAGGUAACGGCUCACAAAGGCGACGACGGGUAGCCGGCCUGAGAGGGCGACCGGCCACACUGGGACUGAGACACGGCCCAGACUCCUACGGGAGGCAGCAGUGGGGAAUAUUGCGCAAUGGGCGAAAGCCUGACGCAGCAACGCCGCGUGCGGGAUGAAGGCCUUCGGGUUGUAAACCGCUUUCAGCAGGGAAGAAGCCGCAAGGUGACGGUACCUGCAGAAGAAGCACCGGCUAACUACGUGCCAGCAGCCGCCGUAA
rnacentral:rRNA from 1 species